GAUGAACGCUGGCGGCGUGCCUAAUACAUGCAAGUCGAGCGAACGGACGAGAAGCUUGCUUCUCUGAUGUUAGCGGCGGACGGGUGAGUAACACGUGGAUAACCUACCUAUAAGACUGGGAUAACUUCGGGAAACCGGAGCUAAUACCGGAUAAUAUUUUGAACCGCAUGGUUCAAAAGUGAAAGACGGUCUUGCUGUCACUUAUAGAUGGAUCCGCGCUGCAUUAGCUAGUUGGUAAGGUAACGGCUUACCAAGGCAACGAUGCAUAGCCGACCUGAGAGGGUGAACGGCCACACUGGAACUGAGACACGGCCCAAAACCCUAGGGGAGGCAGCAGUAGGGAAUUUUCCGCAAGGGGGAAAAGCUUGAGGAGACAACGCCGGGGGGGUGAUAAAGGUUUUCGGAUGGUAAAAAUCUUUUAUUGGGGAAAAAAAAAUGUGAAAGUAACUGGGCAAAUUUGGACGGUCCCUAAUCAGAAAGCCACGGCUAAAUACGG
rnacentral:rRNA from 1 species